UACGGGGGGGGGCAAGCGUUGUUCGGAUUCACUGGGCGUAAAGGGUGCGUAGGCGGUCGGCCAAGUCUGCGGUGAAAUCGCUCGGCUCAACUGGGCGGGGUCCGUGGAAACUGGUCAACUGGAGGACGGUAGAGGCAAGUGGAAUUCCUGGUGUAGCGGUGAAAUGCGCAGAUAUCAGGAAGAACACCCGUGGCUAAGGCGGCUCUCUAGUACGGUACUGACGCUGAGACGCGAAAGCGUGGGGAGCGAACAGG
rnacentral:rRNA from 1 species